GGGUCAGUAGGUUGGUCGUGCCACCGGUACGUACUGGUCUCACUGAUUCCUCCUUCCUGAAGAACCGUAAUGCCAUUAAUUUGGUGUUGCGGGGAAACAGGACUGUUAAUUUGAAAAAAUUAGAGUGUUUAAAGCAAGCUAACGCUUGAAUACAUUAGCAUGGAAUAAUGAAAUAGGACGAUCGAUCCUAUUUUGUUGGUUUCUAGGAUUGACGUA
rnacentral:rRNA from 1 species